AGUUUGUAUUGCAGGACAGGGAAUGUGACAGUCACGCAUCGUAAAAUUGUGUAUUUUCCCUGGUUACUGAGGAUUUUUUCUUGUUAAACCACCAGUGUUAUGAAAAUAUGUUCGAUGUUUAUGUCUUUAAACCAUAAACCCUUAUAAUAAAAACUAAACAUUUUUUCAUUCAAGUAGCAUUUCAAAAAUUCCAGUGGCCCAACAUCAGAUUAUCCUGAUCCUAUUCCCCUUGACAGCAGUGUCUUCAGAAAAGCAAGGAAAGCAAAGAAAAGACUAUUGCAGGAGGUUGAAAGUGAUGAGGAUAAUUCACAUGCAUCUGAAUCAACUGUUGAAACAGAAACUGGUACAGGCACUCAGACAGAAGAACAGUGGGUUUCUCCAAUGGACAUGUUAGCUACAUCUACAGAUUUACACAUAUUGCGUGGUGAAUUAGACUUGAAAAAUAACAAAAUCAAGCAAUUGGAGUCAAUGAUCAUGAAAUUGAAAGACGAAAAUAAACAGCUGA